AGUGUUUUCAUUCUCACGAUACUUCCGAUUCGAACACAUGGUUCUCAUUCGCUGUUCCAUCCAAUCUCCAUCACUUCGUUGUUCAAUUCAAAUUUCAACGAUGAAACUCAAUGAAGGUUUUAGAUCGCAUUCCACUCUUCAACUUUCUCUUGACUUCGGUGUCUCUUCAGCCAGAUUUCAACGAUGCUCAAAUCAAAUCUGACACAACUUGUCCUUGCAAACAUCUGACUGACUGAGCUUCAUUUUUUGGGUGCCUAAAUCGGCAAGGUUUUGGUUAAUUUUGUUUAAUUUUCUCAACUUGCUGAAGCAGUGAUGUAUCUGUUGUUUUUGCCCUUACCGGUUGAAGUGAAGAAAAAUGCGGAUUUCGUCCUCGCUCGCAAGGUGUUCGAUGAAAUGUCCCAACCGGAUUAUUUCUUCUUUUUGCUUCAGUUUCGAUUUUCUCAAGUGAUAAUAAUAUAUUGUUAUUAUCUCAAUUGCUAGAGCACAUAGCUAUCUACAUUUCAUUUAUCUACACUCUUUACAAAUGUAAAUUGCUAGAAGUACCUAACCGAAAACAUAAAAAGUGCAUCAUUGGUAGCAUAUGAUGGGCAGUAAGUGUGACUGAUAUACUUUGUUACUCUACAAUAUGGGCGAAGGUGAGAACAAUGAAGCAGAAGUGGUUGUGAUUGGAUUUUGGAGUGGAUUUGCUUGGUUGGCUGGAAUGACUGUGUUCAUUGCUAUAUUGUCUGAAUAUGUGGUGGAUACAAUUGAGGUAACUCAACUAAAUUGUUUAGAUCUAAUUUGGAAUUCUUUUGAACAAACAGCUCAAUUAAACACUUAUUGGAUGACUAAUUAUCACAUAAGCAGUUAUGCAUAAGUCAGGAGCAGGUUUGGAUUGACUUAUUGUAGAACUCUCUAUUUUUCUUCACCAUCUAGUUACAACUUACAGGUAGUUAUUACUCAGUUGUCUAUAAAAAAUUUAAAAAGUUUGAUUUAUGAGUUGGUUUUGUAAAUUAAUGAAUUUACUUAAUUUGUAGUUUAAUGUUACUUUUAGCUGUUUGGCAGUUCCUGAAUGAUACCAUGGUGAGUGGUCAAAUGUUCACAUAAUGUGAUACAAAGAUGAAGUAAAGACAUCUUUAGAGAUUUCACUUAAUCAUAUUCACAAGAGAUUUAUAAGUAUACGGACAUACAAGAGAAACUUGAUUCCAUAAUAUCAGAAUCAAAUUGGCAUUCAAGCCAAGGGAACUAUGAGAGGCUAAUGAAGAUGAACGAAUAACGGCAUAAUCAUAAUCAUCAUUCCCCCUUAACUUGAUGCAUAGAUAUUAGAUGCAUCCAACUUAUUACAUAUGAAAACUAUCCUAGGACCCAAUAAAGAUUCGAUAAACAUGUCAACUUUUUCAACACUUAUAUGGUUUCUCUAAUUGCCAUUUUUAAUCUUGUAACAAAUGUUGAUGCAAGUGCUACACCCCGAUAUUGCGGCUGCUAUUUCGAAUAUUUCGGUUGAUGGGCUAAACGUUGCAGACACUAAGUCGUAAUAAGCUUUUGUUGUAGACUUCAGUUCAUUUGAUGCAAUGGGAGUGUUUGAGAGCUUUACCCUUUCAGAUUGGUGUUAUAGUAAUCAACAUUGUUUGGAGUUAGCCAAAAAGCAUAUGAGCAGUAGAAGGGACUAUGUAACUGCAUCCGUCAAUUUACUUCGCUCUCAUCGGUGAUGGUUAACCUAUUGGAUGCUACGAAGACAUGUGGGUUGGCUGGUGUAUCAAGGGAAAAAAGAUCUCAACACCUGUGAUUUUGGUUAUCAGGUGGAAGCUGGUUCGUCGUAAACUUUUGUAUCAUUCUUACUCAAUGCAAGUUCUUGGCUAUAUCUCUUUGCCUGCUAGUGAUGGUAGUGGUUCAUUCAAUCUUCUAAAACUUCUUGAAAAGUCAGCAUCUAAAUUGGUAUUGUUUUUAAUGUGAUAUUUUCGUGCUCAUCAUUUUCGUGCUCAUUUCAGUCGUUGCAUUCUUCUUUAUCCUAGGGUAAGUACUCGUUGCAUUCUUCUUUAUCCUAGGGUAAGUACGCUUUUCGUUCAUCAUUUAUCAUUGUGUUUCGUGAGGUUUUCAUGUUUUAUCGACUUAUAUGAUUACAAUUCAGUAACUAAAUGUACCAAGAACCAAGAAAAUUUACAUUUGAAGCUAAGAAUCUUUCUAAUGCCAAUGAGGUUGUAGCUUACUCAUCUAGGGAUGGUUCUUUGGGACUUUAGUGUAAUGAUGAUAUUAUCCCUAGAUUGGCGAGCUACCCUGAAAAAUUUGAGAGCUAUGGUAAGUUGUAAUCAUAUAUACGAUGUAUUUGUAUACCGAUAGGGAAGCAAAUAAUAUUUUAGAUUAUUUUUUUUAAUUUUAGAAAUAUAUUACCUACGGAUAUUUCCUGCGGAUUUAGCAGCGGAAUUUCCUACCAAUAAUAUUACCCACAAAGGUUUUAGCAGGGGACGAAAAAGCGCAGGAAAAUCCACAACUAACACAUUUCCUGCGGAAUUUUAGCUAAAAUCCGCAGGUAAAUCCACAAGAAAUUCGAGUAUUUUUAAUAAUGAAUGAAUUUUAAAUCAAUUACUUUUAUAAACUUAAAGUAGAAGUAGGAGUUGUAUUAUGCUUGUGCCAUCUUAUAUUAAGACACUCGACAUAAAUCUUGUCUAAUAUAAUAUUAAAAUCUUGAUUGCCUAUUUUUUUAAAGUGAACAAUACUGCAUACUUUCUAAUCGUUAACUAUAUAUUUUUUUCUAGAAUACCAACAAAUAUAAUAAUAAAAGAAAACAGAAGAAUUGAGAUAAAAAAUAAGACACUUGUAUAAAGCUUGUAAAACAAAUACAAAAUGUAAGGAAAUAUUUUUAUAAUAAAAAAUGUACAUAUAUUUUCAACUAAUGAUUUGUAUUUUUUUUAGGCAUGAUUUGUUCGGCAUGAAUUUGUUGUUUUCAUGUAGUUAUACCACAUAGUAUUUAUGAGUUAAUUCUAGUUGUUAUACAUGAUCAUUUAAUGUAAAAAACAUAAAAUAUUAAAGGGUUAAUACUUAUUUUCAUCUUUGUCAUAUGAGUUUGGUUUGAAAAACUUCCGGCCAAAAUAAAGUUGUAAGAAUGGCCUCAACAAAUUUCAAAAGUUUCAUUUUGGACCUUUAUCAGGCCACAUCAUCAAAAAGUCUGAUGUGGUAGUGUUUUUUUUUUUAACUUUUUAAUGAAUUGAUUUUCCACAUCAUAUAUUCACCCAAUACAAUGACAUUAAUACUCUUACUUGCUAUAUCCACAAGAACUCAUAAUUUUGUUCAUUUGGAGUAGUUUCAUUUCAAACCCUACUUUUAGGGUUCUUAAUCUCUUCAACCUUCUCAACGUGCAUUUGUAAGAAAAAUGAGAAGGAAAUACGACUUCGCCUUGCUCCAAUUUCAAGCUGCAUUCGUGUUUAACGCAACUUUGCUGAUCAAAAAGGUACAUUUGUUCUCUCAAAGUUUCUAUUCUUAUACAAGUACAAGAAUGUGGUCCCAACUGAAUAUCUUUCUAAAAAACAUGUACGGGUUAUUGUUUGUUUUCUGUAGAUAUGGGUGUGUUUAGUUUAGUGUUUCACCAUGGGGGAAAUUUUGUGCAAGACAGUCAUAUAUAUUAAAGUGACAUGGAUGACAAACCUUCCAAGCCAAAGUAUGAGAAGUUCAUAUCAGAGCUGCUUAACAAAGACUUUCAAUUCAAAUUAGGUAUGAAGUUCAUAUCUCAUUCUGAAUUUAAAGAUGCUAUUAGGGAGUGGUUAGUAUUAAAUGGUAGAGAGAUAAGUUUUGUUAAGAAUGAGAGCUAUAGGGUUAGGGUUUAGUGCAAAGGUAAAUGUGGCUUUUUGGCAUUGUGUAGCAAAGUGGGAGACAACCACACUUACCAAAUAAAGACUUGGGUGGGGACCCACACAUGUGCAAGGGUAUUAAAUAACAAGUCUGCCAAUUCCAAGUGGGUCUCUAAGUUAGUGAUUGAAAAGAGGAAGUCACAAGGGAAAGUCAAAUUGUCUGAAAUUAUGUCUGAACUUAGACAUAAAUAUUCAGUAGGCAUAAGCAAAGGGAAAGCUUGGAGAGCAAAAUCUAUGGCUAAGGAAAUAAUUGAAGCACAAUGUCAUGCCUAAUCCUAGGAAAAGGCUUGAUAAGGAAACUCAUUUAAGUGGAGAAUGGCUACCUACAUGGGGCAGUGGUGAUUUGUGGCAAGUCCAUCACCCAUAUAAUGGAUUGCAGUUUGUUGUUGAUCUUGGGAAAAAAACUUGCACUUGUUUCUUUUGGGAUCUUGUGGGCAUACCUUGUAGGCAUAUUGUUUCUGCAUUGCAAUAUGAGAAUUUAGAUCAUGAGAAGUAUGUUGACCCUUGUUACAUGAGAGAAACUUACAAGGCAUGUUAUGAAAACAAUGUUAGUCCAAUAAAUGACAUCGACAUGUGGCCUACUGUGGAUGCUGGAAACUUGUUGCCACCACAAUACAAGAAGGGACCUGGAAGGCCUAAGAAACUGAGGUUUAGAGAGUUGGAUGAGAGUGGUUCAAGGAUGAUGAGGGUAGGUGUAGCAUAUAGAUGAUCAAAGUGUGACAAAUUUGGCCACAAUUCUAGGAAGUGUCGAGCUAAGGAGCAAGAUCCUAAUGCACUAGAAAGAGAAAGACACCCAGGACCAAAGUCUCUAAAAAACCUGAUGCAUCUCAAACAUCUACUACACAAGCACAUGUUGAUGGAAAUGUUGAUGGAGGUGGGAGUGUGGCUGAUGGAAAUGUUGAUGGAGGUGGGAGUGUGGUUGAUGGAAAUGUUGAUACUAUUCCAAAUGUGGUUGAAGACCCAGAGAUGGAUGAAUUGUUGAAUGAUAUGGUGGCUCUUUAUGAAGAGCAACAAUCACAAGUUGACAAUCUCACACAACCUGCUGCUAUGCAACCUCCUGCAUCACAUGAAACACAUCCUGCUGCUAUGAAUGAAACACACCUUGCUGCUACAAAUGUCAAAAAACCUUCUGCUAAGAAAAAGGUCAAAACUUGGAAACCAUCAAGAAAGAGGGUCAGUGAAAGAUUGAAAGAAGUGAAGAAUGCCAAAAGAAAUGGUGGGCCUGGAUCAACACCCGAUGCACCUUUGACCAUUGAUGAUGAAACUGGUGGUAGUAUAUCAAAGAAGAUCUCAAAGAAGAAGUGGAAGGGAAUUGCUAGCCGCAUGACUCAGUAGUUGUGCACAUAGUGUGCCAUUUUGUAAUUUCAAUUUGAAACUUUUCUGUGUUAUUGUCAUUAUGUUAAGCACAUAAUGUGCCAUUUUGUAACUCUAACUUAUUCUAUGUUUGCUUAUCAGAACAUAUUGACUUAAGUUCACUUUGGUAUCAA